UACGUAGGGGGCAAGCGUUGUCCGGAUUUAUUGGGCGUAAAGAGCGUGUAGGCGGUUCGGUAGGUCCGUUGUGAAAACUCGAGGCUCAACCUCGAGACGCCGAUGGAAACCCCCGAACUAGAGUCCGGAAGAGGAGAGUGGAAUUCCGGGUGUAGUGGUGAAAUGCGUAGAGAUCCGGAGGAACACCAGUGGCGAAGGCGACACGCUGGGCCGUACCUGACGCUAAAGCGCGACAGCAUGGGGAGCAAACGGG
rnacentral:rRNA from 1 species